UCCGGAUUCAGAGUGUCCCUGAGAACAUUGCAGACACCAAAGUCCCUCAUUACAUCCGACGCCUACUGAGCUAUGUACUCUCGCCAUCUACGGCCAAAGCAAUCAUGCUGGAGAACUACUUUUGGAUCCCCAAACCAGUUAGAGCCCUGGAAGGUGACCCAAGGGACUUGUUGCUAUGCUUCCAAUCACUACGGAGCAAGCAGCUUGUACAGGUGGCUGUCCGUGACUCACCAACCCACUACUUUGAAU